rnacentral:lncRNA from 1 species
UUCUCCCUUCUCCUCCUCUCUCUUCUUUCUCUCUUUUUCUUUUUCUUCUCUUCUUCCUCUCUUCCUUACUUCUUUACUGUUUGGGUUGCUGUUUUUUUUUGUUUUCUCUUUGCUUGUUUGUAUAGGUGCGACGGUGGUGGUGGUGUCACAACGGCGGUGCGACGACGGUGGUUGCGGGAGGAUGGUGGUGGAGGCUUUCGGCUUGCUGCUAUUUUUUUGUUUUUGAAUUUUUUCUGCUCUUUUUCUUUUGGUUGCCGAAAAACCUUUUCUUUUUGUUUCGGUUUCCCUUGGCUUUCUAGGUGGCGGUGCGGUGGUUGCGGUGGCGGGGUAGUGGCGCGACGGUGGCGAUGGCUUUUGGGCUGCUGUUUUUUGGAUUUUUUUGAGUUUUUCUCUGCUCUUUUUCUAUUUUUUUUUGGUUGCUAUCCGACCCCCUUCCUUCUCUUUUGAUUUUCUUUUUAAUCUCUUCAUUUUUUAUCCUCUUUCUUCUUGUUUUCAGAUGGCAUGGAGGUGAGGAGCAUGGCUGAUUGGCGGUGUCAGGCGUAGGGUGUGGUGCACGCCCAAAUGCUGGUUGGGGGGCAGUCUUGUCAUUCCCAGAAGGACUGAAUUGUAGAGUGUGCAAAGUUUUUAGGGCAAAAAUGUGAUUUUAGGAAAAUAUAGGGACAAAAUGUAAUUUCUAGAAAGUUUAGGGGCCUGACUGUAAUUUAUAAAAUAUUAGGGGUCAAGAUGUAAAUUUAGACAAAGUUAGGGGUCAAAAAAUAAUUUUUGAAAAGUUUGAGGGCCAAAAUGUAAUUUUUAUUUUUUGUAUUUUUAUUUUUUUCAAAAUUUUAUUAUGACUAUUUUAUUAAUAUUUAAAACAAAAAUUAAAAACGGACUAAAGUAAUUCCAAAAUUAAAUCCUAAUGGGCUCGAUCAUUGGGCCCAUACGAGACCGACCCGGCCUAAAAUUCAAACCGGGCAAAAUUCAGUGAUUACAGCUGCCCCUCUUUGCUCAUCGCUGUAAAACAGGGAUAGAGCAAAGACUUAAAAGCACUGAAUUUUGCUCGAUUGUCUAAUUUUUUAUAUUUUUUGAAAGCCUGAAAUUGAAAAAAAAAAGCUUGGUGUGCGAUCCGAAGUUCAACUCACUUUUCAGAUUAUAAGUUGACCUUUGAAAAAUAAAAAAUAAAAAUACCUCAGCUUGACUCGAGGCUCAACUCACCUCUAGGAUUAUGAGUUAAUAAUUUUUUUUUUUGAAAACAUAAAUUGAAAAUACCACAGCGUGACCUGAGGCUUAACUCACCUCUCGCAUUAUGAGUUGAUUUUUGAAAAACGAAAAAUUGAAAAAUACCUCGGCAUGUGACCCGAGGCUCAACUCACCUCUCGUAAUAUGAGUUGAUUUUUUUUGAAAAACAGAAAUUUAAAAUACCUUAGCGUGCGACCUGAGGCCCAACUCACCUCUCGCAAUAUGAGUUGAUUUUUGAAAAACAGAAAUUGAAAAUACCUCAGGAUGACCCGAGGCUCAACUCACCUCUCGUAUUGUGAGUUGAUUUUUGAAAAAAAGAAAAUUUAAAAGAAAUACCUCGGCGUGACCCGAGACUCAACUCACCUCUCGCAAUAUGAGUUGAUUUUUUUGAAAAACAGUAACUUAAAAAUACCUCAGCGUGACCCGAGGCUCAACUCACCUCUCGUAUUAUGAGUUGAUUUUUGAAAAACAAAAAUUAAAAAAUAUAAUUCUUGAAAGAAACAGGGUUUCAAAACAUCAGGUGAAACUAAAGCCUUCUUCUUCGUUGAUUCUGUGCAACUUUCUCUCAGUAUUCCCUGCUCUACUAAGAUACCUGUAUAUGUCAUGUAUGAUGUUAUUAUGAUAUGCACGUGUUUGACCUAAAUGCUUUUAUGCCUACAUAAUCAUGCCAUGAGCCCUGGGCUGUUUGUCUCAUGCCUCCUUUUCGUGAGGGACUGCAUUCAUUGCCUCAAUCAUUGACUUCUCUCUUCGGUUUUGUACUCAUCUUCAAGUUUGUCGGGUGACCCACAUGUCCAUAUUUCCCCUUCUUGCCCCUUUUGUUGAACUUUGUUCCUGCUUUGGGGUCCUUGUACUUAUCAAAUUCUCAUCCAGGUAAUGCUCAACAUUCAUUUUGUUUAGAGUAUGUCAUCUUACUAUUUAUCAUUUAAAUGAAUCAAACACAAGAUGCAUAAAUAAAAUGGCAAAGUAGGCAUGAAAGAAAUACCUCACAUCCAUUUCAUUUUCAAAACCAUCAAACAAAGAAAAUUGACAAGGAAAAAGUUCAAAGAAAGCAUCAUAUAGAAAGGAAAGUGAAUUCAAUGGCCACAAAUGCUCUAGAUAUCCAACGUAUGAACUUCUCCACGUUUCUUCAUCCUGGAUCCUUUCGAGCACGGCUUCUUGUGUAGAAGAUUUCGAGCUUCUGAGAAUGCUUCAAAUAUUGCGACUUUGUCAUUCAACUCUCCGUUCAAGUCACUUUGCUCCUUUAAGCUCGAGCCCACUUCAUUAGGACGCCCUUUCAGGUUUCCAUCCUAAUUCUUUUUGUUUAUCAAAACGCCCUUUUCAGGUUUUCAUCUUGAUUUUCUUUUUCUUUUCUUUUUUCUUUUUUUGUUUUUGUUUUUGUUUUUUUUUGUUCUUUUUGUUCUUUUUGUUCUUUUAUUUUUUUAUUUUUUUUUUGUUUUUUUAGGCAUAAUAUUUCUUUACAGCAUCUGAGUUCACUGGAUUAGGUAACUCUUUCCCGUCCAUCUCAGUGAGAAUCAGAGCCCCUCCUGAGAAUGCCCUCUUUACAACGUAUGGUCCUUCCCAAUUUGGUGACCAUUUUCCUCGAAAGUCCUUCUGUAUUGGGAGAAUCUUUCUCAGUACGAGCUCUCCUUCGCGAAAUUCUCUUGGCCGCACCUUUUUAUCAUGGGCCGUAAUCAUUCUCUUCUGGUACAUCUGUCCAUGACAAAUUACCUUCAAGCGUUUCCCUUCAAUAAGGUUUAGCUGAUCAUAUCGAGCUCGAACCCACUCUGAUUCCUCUAACCUUGUCUCCAUCAAGAUGCGCAGGGAUGGGAUCUCUACUUCGAUAGGCAGAACGGCUUCCAUUCCAUAGACUAGAGAAAAAGGAGUUGCCCCCGUAGACGUCCGUACCGAGGUGCGAUAUGCGUACAAAGCGAAUGGUAGCUUAUCGUGCCAGUCUUUAUAUGUCUCAGUCAUCUUCCCAAUAAUCCUCUUAAUGUUCUUAUUAGCGGCUUCUACUGCUCCGUUCAUCUUUGGGCAAUAGGGCGAAGAAUUAUGAUGUUUUAUCUGGAAUUGCUCACAUACUUCUUUCAUCAUCUUAUUGUUCAAAUUUAAAGCAUUAUCUGAAAUGAUUCUUUCAGGCAGACCAUAUCGGCAUAUAAUCUCCUUUUUUAAGAACCUACAGACUGUAGCCUUUGUCACAUUAGCAAACGAAGUGGCUUCUACCCAUUUUGUGAAGUAGUCUAUAACCACAAAGAUGAAUCGAUGCCCAUUGAAAGCUUUCGGGGAAAUUGGCCCUAUAACAUCCAUGCCCCACAUAGAAAAAGGCCACGGAGAAGUCAUGACAUGAAGGGGUGACGGAGCUGCAUGAAUUUUGUCGCCAUAAAUUUGACAUUUGUGGCACUUUCGUGCGUAACCAAUGCAAUCCCUUUCCAUCGUCAGCCAAUAAUAACCAAGUCUCAUAAUCUGCCUGGCCAUGGUGAAACCACUGGCAUGUGUUCCACAAAUUCCUUCAUGAACCUCUUCAAGUAUCUUUCUAGCUUCAACAGCGUCCACGCACCUCAGGAGCACUUGAUCUUUUCCCCUUUUGUAUAGAAUAUCCCCGUCAAGAACAAAUCCAAUCGCCAUUCUCCUGAUUGUUCUUUUGUCAUUCUCGUUUGCUUGCUCGGGGUACCUUUGAUUCUUGAUAUACUCCAAGAUAUCAUGGAACCAUGGUCGUCCAUCUGACUCCUCCUCAAUACUAAAGCAGUGUGCGGGGGUCUCAUAUAUACUCAUUUGGAUGGGCAUUAUCUCAUUUUCUCUGUUUGCCUUGAACAUCGAAGCCAAGGUGGCUAGGGCAUCAGCCAGUUGGUUCUCCUCUCGUGGAAAGUAGUUAAAAGUCACUUUAUAGAACUCCUUGAUCAGCUCUGCAACGAGAUCAUGAUAUUUGACUAAUUUUGGAUCUCUCACUUCCCAAUCUCCACGAAUUUGAUAAAUGACUAAUGCUGAGUCCCCGUGUACCUCUAAAAUUUUGAUUUUUCACUUGAUAGCUGCACGAAGUCCCAUGAUGCAAGCCUCAUAUUCCGCUAUAUUAUUUGUACAGAAGAAAUUCAAUCUGGCAGUAAGCGGGUAAUGGUCCCCUUCAGGUGACACUAAGACUACUCCUAUCCCAUGCCCCAAUACAUUUGAUGCACCAUCAAAGCUCAUCUUCCAUGACUUUCCUUUUGAUGACUCGCCCUCUUUUUCUGAAAUACACAUCAAAUCUUCAUCUGGGAACUCAAAUCUCAAAGGCUCGUAUUCCUCCAUUGUUCGACUUGCCAAGAAGUCAGCUAUUGCGCUUCCUUUUAUCGACUUUUGGCUCACAUAUACAAUGUCAUACUCAGUCAAUAGGAUUUGCCAUCGGGCCUUUCUCCCUGAGAGUGCAGGUGACUUCAUCAUGUACUUUAUUGGGUCCAGUUUUGAAAUUAACCAUGUCGUGUGAUACAGCAUGUAUUUUCUGAGCCUUCGAACUGUCCAAAUCAAUGCACAACAAAACUUCUCAAUUGACAGGUACUUUGCCUCAUAUUCUGUGAACUUCUUGCUGAGGUAGUAAAUUGCCUUCUCUCUUUUCCCUGACUCAUCAUGUUGUCCCAGUACGCAACCCAUUGAGUUCUCAAACACGGUCAGGUACAAUAUUAAGGGUUUUCCAGGGGUCGGCGGUACUAGCACAGGAGAAUUAGAUAGAUACUGUUUUAUCUUGUCGAAGGCCACUUGGCACUCCUCGUUCCAUUCUCCCGGAUUACGUUUUCAAAGGAGUCGAAAAAUUGGGUCACACUGAUUGGUAAGUUGAGCAAUGAAUCGAGCAAUGUAAUUCAACCUUCCUAAAAAACCUCUGACUUCCUUUUGUGUACGCGGGGGAGGCAAUUCUUGUAUAGCUUUUAUCUUAUCUGGAUCAACCUCGAUACCUCUUUCACUAACAAUGAAACCUAGCAGUUUUCCUGAGGUAGCCCCAAAUGUACAUUUGGCCGGGUUAAGCUUCAACUGAAACUUUCUUAAUCUUUCAAACAACUUCCUAAGACUCCCAACAUGCUCUCUUUCUUCCCGAGAUUUGGCAAUCAUAUCAUCGACAUAAACUUCUAUUUCUUUGUGCAUCAUAUCAUGGAAUAACGUCACCAUGGCUCUCUGAUAUGUUGCCCCAGCAUUCUUUAAUCCGAACGGCAUUACCUUGUAGCAGAAGGUUCCCCACAUUGUUAUGAAUGUAGUUUUCUCCAUAUCUUCGGGAGCCAUCUUUAUCUGAUUAUAUCCUGAGAAACCAUCCAUGAAAGAAAACAGAGAAUGCUUUGCCGUAUUAUCCACCAAAGUGUCGAUGUGCGGUAAAGGAAAGUUAUCUUUAGGGCUUGCUUAAUUCAGAUCAUGAUAAUCCACGCACAUUCGCACCUUGCCAUCUUUCUUCGGCACUGGGACUAUAUUAGCUACCCAUUCUGGAUACUUUGAGACUUGUAGGAAGCCAGCGUCAAAUUGUUUCUUGACUUCUUCUUUUAUCUUUAACAGCAUUUCGGGUCUCAUCCUUCUUAAUUUCUGCUGAACGGGCUUGCAUUCUGGUUUCAGUGAGAGCUUGUGGACCACAAUAUCCGUGUUUAAUCCUGGCAUAUCUUGAUAAGACCAGGCAAACACAUCCUUGUAUUCAUGGAGCAAGGCGAUCAAAUCUUGCCUUGUGUUUUUUGAAAUCGAAGUCCCAAUCUUCACUUCUUGUUUCUCUUCUUCAUUCCCCAAGUUCACUACCUCAACAGAUUAUUGAUGGGGUAGGAUUUGUUUCUCUUCUUGUUCCACCAUUCUCAGUAAGUCAGGAGAUGAGACACAAUCUUCAACAUUUUCGUCAGCUUCGAAUUCUCCUAAACAAAUAACCUUCUCAAAAUUGAUUUCAGGAUUCAUAACGGGAUUAUUCAUGCCAUUGAUAUCUGAACACCUGAAAGGUGAAUGGAAAAAGGAUAUAGAAGAGUAUUGAGGUAUUGUAAUCAACACACAAUGAUAUGAGAUGAUAUGAGACAUAUGCCAGAAAAGGAUAUGAACAGAAGGAGUAGUCGCAAAGUUAAUGAAAAGAAUAUGACAAUAUAAAACAAAAUGCAUCUUCAUUAAUGUUCAUUGAAAUGAUAAAGAGCAAACAUAAGCUCUUACAAAAGGAACCCUACUGUUUAAGGACACACAAAAUGAAGGGUUAACAUUGAGCAUUACUCUGAAGGGGACUUAAAAACUACAAGGAGGUCCUCAGCAGUCCAGUUGUUCAAAACAUAUCCUGGAGGACAAUGGCGUAUCAUUGAAGCAUUCUUAAUUUCAUCAUUCUCAUUGUCAAUAGCAUUUAGGCUGAGAUUCUGAAGACCCUUUUCAAUCAAUAAUGUGGCUUGCAAAUUGUUCUGCCCUGGGUACAUCACUCCUGCUGAUGUAAAUGUUCUCGACAAAGGAGGAUACGCCAACGGCCCCCAUUCUAAUUCCUGGCCCGAAGCUCUUGCGAUUCUUCUUUCUCGAUUUUUCUGAAAUUGUUUUUAUCUUUGAUGUACAUCUGGCUUGAACCCCAAACUGUAUCGACCCUUAUGGUGCGUUGGUUUCAAAGCUCUAACCAUCCUUUGUUGAUAUUUUCCCAAACCUUUCCUCGCUCGAGCUCCUUUUCCCACAGUCAGCUUAAGUCCCAUCUUGGUAUUCCUCGACAGUUUGGGAAUGGGGAUCUUAUUCCCUUCAGUAACAAAUGCAGCAUUGAUAAAUUUCAAGAAGCGAAAAGAACAUUCUACAGCAUCUUCGCUUAUUUCGAUGUAGGGUGCAUCAGUAGAGAUAGAUGCGACGAUGUCUUCCUCGCCACCAACAGUAAUCAAACGACUAUCCAUGAUGAACUUUACUUUCUGAUGGAGAGAUGAAGGAACUGCCCCAGCAGAAUGGAUCCAAGGUCUUCCUAACAGGCAAUUGUAUGAAGGUGUGAUGUCCAUGACCUGAAACUCGAUAUCGUAUGCACAUGGCCCCACUUUUAAAGGAAUUUCGAUAUUUCCCAUGACCUCUCGCCGUGUCCCAUCAAAUGCCCUUACUAUAGAAUGACAAGGCCUCAGAUAGGACAUAUCAACCGGCAUCCUAGAAAGCGUGGCCAAAGGCAUAACAUUGAGUGCAGAUCCAUUGUCGAUGAGCACAUUUGGUAAUAUGUAACCUUUGCAAUUGGUUGUGAUGUGCAAUGCUUUUAUGGAGCCCCUUCCAUUUGGCGGUAUUUCGUCGUCACUAAAGGAGAUGAAAUUAUCUGCAUUUAGAUUAUUUGCCCACCUAUCAAGCUUUUCCACAGAUACAUUGUUCGCCACAUAAGCUUGAUUUAACACUUUUAACAAGGCAUUCCGAUGUGGCUCUGAAUUCAACAAUAGAGACAGUACCGAGAUACGGGCUGGCUGCUUGUUUAAUUGUUCUACAAUGCUAUAUUCACUGUGCUUAAUGAACUUUAAGAACUCACAUGCUUCCUCCUCAUUCACAGCCUUUUUAACUUCUUCCUCGGGUGGUAUUUCAACAUCAUCCUCAGCCUCAUACAUUGGUGCUUUUCUUUUUUGGCUCGGACCAGCAACCUUCUUCUUUGGCUCAACCGUCUCGGGAGAAUAACAUCUUUCGCUACGAGUAAAAUGUCCUACUCCGCUAACACCUUCACUCACAACCUUGGACUUUUCACCCUCAGGUACAAUGAUAUUGACAUCAUAAUUCUAAGGCACCGCCUUGUUGUCCUUAUAAGGGAAAGGAGCAGGUACUUCAAUUAUCAAACUUGGUUUAACUUCUCGACUAACUUCUUCCUUCUUUGUCCCGUAAUAAAUCACCAAAGGUCUAUCGACGCUAUAAAGGGAAGCCAUUGAUUGAUUAUUAGAGGCACAUAUUUCUCCUUCUUCGGCCCCCUCCACCCUAUCAAAGACCUUGACCUCUUUGUUAUCCAUCAUGUCUUGAAGUAAUUUCCUAAAUUCCUUACAAGAUUGGAUGUCAUGCCCUUGGACGCCAUGAAAAUCACAGAAACUCUGGUCUUUUGUACUUUCUUCUUUAAGAAUCUUACUAGACGGACAGAGCAAGCCAUUUUCAAUCAUCAUCUCCCAUACCUUCCGUAAAGGUGUCUUUACUUCGGUAACACAACCUUUGGCUUGACAAUUGUCUUCAUUUGUCACCGCAUUUACAUUCCCGUCAGUAUGGUUAGGAAGAGGAUUUCCUGUCACAUUGCUAACAUCGUCGAACCGUAGAACACCGGCAUCAAUAAGACCUUAAACCCUCCUUUUAAAAGCAAGACAGUUUUCUGUAGAAUGUCCCUGAUUCCCAGCGUGAUACAUGCAAUUAGCGUUAGGAUCAUACCACUUCGGGUAUGGAGGCUUCAGGGGUGCCAUGUAAUGUGGGGAUAUUAAUUGUUUUUCCAACAGCUUUGGGUAUAAUUCUCCAUAUGAUACAGGAAUUAGAGUAAACUGAGGUCUUUCAAGAUUGGGUCUUGCCGGUCUUUGUUCAUUUUUGGGUUGGCUUUGUACAGGUAUGGUGUUUGGCGGGAACACGGUGAAUGGUCUUUGGUUAUUCACAGCAUAAACGGGGUAAGAUAGGGGUGCUUGAUAGUAAGGACUUUGAGGAGGAAAGUAGAAGUUUGAAGGUGGGCGGUAAUGAGGUCGUGGUUGGGUGAGGUACGGAUUAGGGGUACAUUGGCUUUCAGUCCCAACCAUAUGGGCCUCUGCCUCCUUUUUCUUUGCGGGUACUGUCCUCUUCGAACUCUCAGGACCUUCCAUUCUCCCACUCUUGACGGCGUUUUCGAUAAGUUCCCCGGAUAUUACAAUAUCUGCAAAGUCCUUUGUGGCACUUCCCACCAACUUAUCGUAAAAUGGCGCUUUUAGAGUGUUGAUGAAGAGGACCGUUAUCUCUGUCUUAGUUAACGGAGGCUCCACUUGAGCCGAGAUAUCCCUCCAUCUUUACGCAUAUUACCGAAAAGUCUCUGUCGGCUUCUUUUCCAUCAUUUGUAAGGUUAGUCGAUCAGGCACCAUAUCUGUUACAUGCCUAUAUUGCUCACAGAAUGCUGAAGCCAAAUCCUUCCAUGAUCGGAUUCUCUCUCUACUGAGUUGAUUAUACCAUCGAAGGGUUGAGCCAAUCAAACUAUCUUGAAAGUAAUGCACCAACAAUUUAUCAUCGUUUACAUAACCAGUCAUCUUUCGGCAAAACAUGAUCAGAUGCGCCUUUGGACAUCUUGUUCCGUCAAAUUUCUCAAAAUCAGGUGCCUUAAAUUUUGGUGGUAGGACCAAAUCAGGUACCAAACUGAGCUCUUUGGCACUCAAAGCAGAGAAAACUUCAGCGCCUUCUACUGCCUUGAUCCUCUAUUCCAGGACUCUAUACUUAUCCUGAGCGUUAUUGUCAUCAAUUCUCAGCCUUGCUACUUCUACAGGAUCAUCUAGGUCUGGAACAAUUGGAUCUGAAGGAUUAGCCCCAGGGUUCGAUACAAACAUUCCUUGUCCUAAAUGAGCAGAUGGAGCAGGAUGUUGUUCCAGGCCUGUAGGUUCCCUUUGGGGGUAUCCUCUUUGCAUUGCGUGGACAUGAGGUGGAGUAAAUCCCGGGGGAUAAAGUGGGUCUUGAUUAGCUCUUGACUGAGGCGGUUCUACGACAUUAGGGCUCUGUAUAGGUCCCUUUCCUUUGACCAAAGCCGUCAUCAUUUCUAUCAUUUUAGCCAUUUGAUCCCUUUGCUCGAGCAAUUCUUCUCGAGAUCUCACCAUCAAAUCUCUUGCCUCUUGCUGCGACUUGGCCAGUUGCUCCUGCAACUCUCUUUGGGUUCUUUCCAUCCUUUCCAUCCUUUCAUUGAGUUCAGCAUCCAUAGCUCUAGCUCUUAAGCGCGUCCUAUAAGAGUGACGUGAUUCCAGACUCGUAGUGUAGUAACUGUGGAUUAGAUGGUUUUACCCUUAGCGAAUGAUUAAGGUGAUAUGAGAAUACAAUGAAUAAAUGAAUGAGUAACUAAUGAAUGUUAAUCAUGCGUAAAUAUGCAAAAAAGGGUGUUGAUUCCAAAAUGGCCCCAUACUUGGGCGUUUCAUUUAUCAAAAGAGUCCGUUACAAAAAGUUUUGCCAUCCUAGUUCAACAAUUACACGAAUUUCCUAGCCACAUCGCCUUGCUUCUUCAUACGUUCCAAGAACUCUGAUAUGCUUGAUCUUUGGCUAGGAGGGUAUUGGCAACUGAGAACUUCCGCUUCAUCUGAUAAUUGUACUAUUUGUGCAGCCGCCUUACGAAUUUCAUUGAUCAACCUACCGAGAUGCAUAUCCUUUUCUUGGAGGGCUCUUUCAUAAGCACGAAUGUCUCUGUCAUGCUGAUCAUUCUUCUCUUCUAAAGCUCUCAAGAGGUCAUCCAGAUGUUGCUGAUGAGCUUGCAGUGUACUCUCUAGACUUCAGAUUUUUCCUUUUAGCCCUUGAUGCUCAGACUGACUAGCCGUUAGUUCUGCAGUCACAGUUUCGUAUUCAACGUUCUUCUUCCUCAACUCUAUCAUAGCACAUGCAGCUCUUUCCUCUUCUUUCUUUGCUUUGGCUUUCCAGAAUUCCAUCCCACCUUUGAUAUUACUUAGUUCCUCUUUCCAUUCUGCUGAUGCUUUGCCCAAUCCACUAUUUCUUAUAGUGCCCCUUAAUUUCUUGUUUUCCAAAUGAAGGUCCCUUAAAUUCUUUCUCGUAACUUGAACUUCUUUUUGGACUUUUUCGGCUCUGGAUUUUUCAAUUUCGACAUCAAUCUUCAGCUGGUAGUUCUCCUCCUGAAGAGAUUAAUAUCUCGCAACAUUUUGGCCUUUUCACGUUCAAAUUCAUGUCUUGCAAUUUCUAGCUCGGAUGGGGUUUUCUCUGAGAACGGAUUCUGGCAAGCUUCAUUAAUUGGUGGGGUUACUUGACUCUUCACUCGUUGUUGCCUCCAUAGGUCAUAGUCUACAGUGAUAGUAUCAGCAUAUAGAGCCAAUUCCAUUAGGUAGAUUCGCCUCCAAGAAUUCGCAGUAUCUCAAACCUUUUUCAUGUAACCCUCACCCAUAAAGGCAAACUCCGAUUGUGCCAAUCCAUCGGUAACUGGUACAAACUGUCGCGAAGCGAACUGUCUUUAAACCAACAAUGGAGCAUAUCCAACUCCUCCCCAUAAUCCUAAUAAAGGUAUCCAGUCUUGGUUUCCACACUUGUAUAACAAGACAGAGGGACGAAUCCAAGGUGCUCUCCAAGUUAUAUCUUCGACACGGAGGUUCUGAAAGACCGAGACCCAGUGUUGUUCAGUGACAUCUUUCGGCCAAUCUUUUCCAAGGUGUGCUUCCAACGGGGCGAAUGUCUUUGAAAACAUGUGGAAAGGCGUACGCUCCACCCUCCAAAAAUGGCUAAAGAUCCAAACAUUCAGUAACUGAGCGCAUUCGAUAAAACGUCCUUCCCCUUUUCUCCUACAAGCAUUUAGAGAUCUAAAAGUCUCAGCCAAGAUGGCUGGGACCGGGUUAACUCUUUGCCUCAACUUUUCGAAGAAAUCCACAACCGCAACUUCAAUAUGCCCAAGAACCUUCGGGAAGACGACCAGUCCGUAAACAGCCAAGGCAAACAAAUCUACUCUUUUUAACACAUCUGGAUGAUUCUGAACUAACUCCCGCAGAGAAAACCACGGGACACAACUGACUUCAUUCUUCUUCUUUAUCUGUUUUUCAGCCCAUGUAUCAGUCAUUCCCGUCAACUUCAUUAGCUUUUUCUUGAAGGUCAUUGGUUUAGGCUCCUUCACAUAUAUCUUGUUGAGUUGCACAUUAUCGAUGCGAAGCAAAGCGGCAUACUCUUCUAUGGUCGGAGUCAUAUCUUCCUGAUUGAAAGUGAAACACUGAUAGGCUGGGUCCCAGAAUCGAACCAUGGCUUGGAUCAACUGCUCGUUCACAUCGAUUGCUAUCAAGUGAGCUAUAUCCCCAUACUUUUCAGUGGAGAUGCUUCUAGUAUCUGAGUCCCACUGCUUCCAAAUCCUAGUCAAGUCUUCGAGAUCAUUUUGACGAGCAUUCAAAGUCACACGCUCGGGAAGAUCAGAGGUGUAUCCUUCCUUCAAACUGUCCCCUUUCACUUUUUGAGUUCUCAAAGACCAAUCUCGGACUACAGCAUUUUUCUCGGUUACUCGUGUAAUUGACUCCUCCAUCAGAAACCCGUUUUUGGCAACCAAUAUUUAACCAACACCUUCCUAAUGAGAUGUCUACGAUGCAUGAUGGAAAAUAAGAUGAAAAACAAAUAACCUUGGUUAGAGAUCACAACAGAUAUAAACAAAAGAAAAAUGAAAAAUAAAGACUAUGGAAAAUUUAACAAAUUAAGCUAUUCAAUCAUGCAAUUUGGUGGAACAGACCCACAUUUUUUUUUGCCCCAACAUGCUUUACAAGAAACCUACCCCACAUACCAUCAGACCAUCUAUCCGACCCAAUUUAUUGAAUAGACUCAAUUUAUCUGCAAAUAAGUGUAAAUGUAAAAGAAAUAAAAGGUAAGAGGCGUUUCUCCCGUGCACUUAUUUUGGUAACUAUCAAACGGACAGAGGUUCUGUAUGGCUCUACUCGGGUGGCCUAUACGGUUCACUAUAUGUAGUUUCGGUUUUAGAAAGGUACUCGAAUUGUCCAUACUAUCACCUACUAAGGUUAGUACAGAGCUUCGGUUAUCGCCCGUCAGGGCUCGCGAGCUCAAUUCGAGGGAUUACAUUUACUUAUGCCUAUGCGGAGGGACAAGUUAACUCACGAAAGCAUAAGUCAUAUGUAACCCGAAAGUAAUUACUAGCCUGUGCGGAGGGACGAGUUAACUCACGAAGGCGUAGCGUUUACUUCCACUUAAACGGACAGAGCCCGGGUAGAGAGCUCAUGUUAUGCAAAAAAUGCAAGUGCACUGUGUGUGGAGAGAAACUCACAAACCUUUUUAUUUUUACUUUUACUAAAAAAAACAAACUAAAACCAUAAAACUUAAAGCUGAAAAAAACACGAAAAUAAAAAAGGUUAGAAAAAUAUUAAUUUCAAAACUGAAUACGGAUGCAUGAUUUUUUUCAAAACAAAAUUCAAGGAUCACGAUUAAAAAUUAAUUUGAACAAGAAAAUUUGAAAAUUUUGACAACACACGUUUAACAUCAGACUCGACUCUCAAAAAAAACUCCCCAGCGGAAUCGCCAGCUGGAGCGACCUAAAAAUUUCUGGGCACGGGCGCUAGUCGAAGUAAUUAUUUAAGGUUUGAAAACAGUGUCUCGAUUUUAUUCGAAAAAGGGAGUCGCCACCGAUCUUUUUUUUUAGGUGUGAUCGGACACCUACAAAAUUCUCUUUUUAGAAGAAAAAUUUAUUUUUAAGCUUUUCUAAAAAGAGGUAAUUUUAGGUCCACGUAAAAAUCAAGAGAAAAUUAGGGUUCUGGAGUCGGUUACGCGCGAGGAAGGUAUUAGCACCCUCGCGACGCCCAAAAUUGGUAUCUCGUUAAAUGCAUGUUGUCUUAACUUUCAAAAAUACGAGUUCCAUUUAAUAUUUAGUCAUGAUCCGAUUGAAACACGAGAAUUUUGAAACACAACAACCCCUUUUUUUUUUUUGAAAACACGAAAUUUUUUUAAAACGCAAGAAUUUUAGAAACACAAAAAUUUUCUUUAAAAAAACACGAAAAUUUUGAAACAUGAGAAUUUUUUCAAAACACAAAUUUUCUUUUUGAAACACGAAAAUUUUGAAAACACAAAAAAUUUGAUAAAUUACGAAACAUGAGAUUUUUUUGAAACACGGAAAUUUAUGAAACACGGUCAAUUUUUGAAAACACAAAAAUUUUUGAAAGACGGGUUUUUUUUUUGAAAACACGAAAAUUUAUAAAACACGGAAAUUUUUUCUGAAAACAAGAAAAUUUUCGAAAAACGAGAAUUUUUGAAAACACAAGAAAUUUUUGAAAACAUGAAAUUUUUUGUUAAACUAGAAUUUUGAAAACACGAAGAUUUUUGAAACAUGAGGAUUUUUGAAAACACGAAGCUUUUUGAAACAUGAGAAUUUUUUGAGAACAUGAAAACAUGAAAAUUUGUCAAACACGGGAAUUUUUUGAAAACACGAUAACAUCAAAGAGUAUUCAAGAGAGUUUUUUGAAACACGGAAUUUUUUUUUGGAAAAAAGAAACACGAAUAUAUUUUUUUGAAACACAGGAAAUUUUUUGAAAAAAAGAAACACGAAUAUAUUUUUUUGAAACACGGGAAAUUUUAUUAUUAUUAUUUUGAAACACGAGAAAUUUUGAAGACAUGAAAAUUUUUGAAACACAAUUUUUUUAAUAAUACCAUAUUUAAUACGAAUCGAUGAUAUUCACCCCGAUAUGGCGAUGAAAUCGUCGUAUUAGUGUCAAAACAAAUCAAAUUAAUAUUUAAUCGGGAUUCUAAUAAAACACGAGGAUUUUUAUUAAAACACGAGGAAUUUUGAAUAUUUUCUAUUUUUAGAAGGGCGUCCCGUAUUUAACACGAGCCAUCAAUAUUCACCCAACAUAGAGAUGAAUUCAACGGCUUGAUGCUAAAUCGGUUCGUUGCCUUAUGCAUUAAAAUAUUUUUCUAUAAAAAAAUGCAAAUAAAAUUACAUAUAAUAAUAUUUCUAAACUAUUAAAAAACUAAUUUAAUUGUAAUGGGGAAAUAUUUAAAUAAAUGGACUUAAUUAGAGUGGGUUUAAAAAAUUACCAAAAGCCCAAAGUUAUGGGCUUGAAUUUUGGGCCUCCCUUUUUCUUUUUUUUUCUCUUUCUUUCCUGGGCUUUGGGCUGCCGGACUGGGCCGAGUCUGCUGGCCCGCUGGUUGCUGGAACAGGCUUGCUACCGCUGCUGGAUCGGGUACAGGCCUUCGUGCGGGUCGGGUCUACCUCCUGGACUGGGUCGUGGCCUGCUGUCACUGUUGGGCUGCUCUGCUGCGCGUGGGCCUGGGCUGCUGCUUAGCUGCUGGAGUGGCCUGCUGUUGGCCUGCCCAAGAUGGCCUAUUGCUUGCUGGGCCGGUCUGCCACUACUGCUGGUGUGGGUGGCCUGCUGCUGGCUUGUUGCUGGCUGCUGGCUGGGUCAGAUCCGGGUCGUCGGGUCGGGUUGGCCCGGCUGUUAUUUUUUUCUUCUAUUUUCUUCUUUCUUCUUUCUUCUUUUCUUUUUUCCUCCUUUUUUUUCUUUCCUUUUUCUUUUUCUUUCUUUUCUUCUUCCUUUCAAACCCUAGCCGCCGUCUUUUGCUUGGUGGCGCGACGGUGCCGGCGCUUCUCCCUUCUCCCUUCUCCUACUCUCUCUUCUUUCUCUCCUUUUCUUUUUCUUCUCUUCUUCCUCUCUUCCUUACUUCUUUACUGUUUGGGUUGCUGUUUUUUUUUGUUUUCUCUUUGCUUGUUUGUAUAGGUGCGACGGUGGUGGUGGUGUCACAACGGCGGUACGACGACGGUGGUUGCGGGAGGAUGGUGGUGGAGGCUUUCAGCUUGCUGCUAUUUUUUUAUUUUUGAAUUUUCUCUGCUCUUUUUCUUUUGGUUGCCGAAAAACCUUUUCUUUUUGUUUCGGUUUCCCUUGGCUUUCUAGGUGGCGGUGCGGUGGUUGCGGUGGCGGGGUAGUGGCACGACGGUGGCGAUGGCUUUUGGGCUGCUGUUGUUUGGAUUUUUUUGAGUUUUUCUCUACUCUUUUUUUAUUUUUUUUUGGUUGCUAUCCGACCCCCUUCCCUCUCUUUUGAUUUUCUUUUUAAUCUCUUCAUUUUUUUGUCCUCUUUCUUCUUGUUUUCAGAUGGCAUGGAGGUGGGGAGCAUGGCUGAUUGGCGGUGUCAGGCGUAGGGUGCGGUGCACGCCCGGAUGCUGGUUGGGGAGCAGUCUUGUCAUGCCCAGAAGGACUGAAUUGUAGAGUGUGCAAAGUUUUUGGGGCAAAAAUGUGAUUUUAGGAAAAUAUAGGGCCAAAAUGUAAUUUCUAGAAAGUUUAGGGGCCAACUAUAAUUUACAAAAUAUUAGGGGUCAAGAUGUAAAUUUAGAAAAAGUUGGGGGUCAAAAAAUAAUUUUUGAAAAGUUUGGAGGCCAAAAUGUAAUUUUUAUUUUUUGUAUUUUUUUUAUUUUUAUUUUUUUUUCAAAAUUUUAUUAUGACUAUUUUAUUAAUAUUUAAAACAAAAAUUAAAAACGGAC